rnacentral:rRNA from 1 species
CUGUGGCCAAAUCACCCAGAACGCACCCAAUCUUGCAAAAUCUCAAAAGCUAAGCAGGUUUGAGCCUGGAUAUUGCAUGGAUGGGUGACCACCAUGCACAAACAGGUUAUCAUAUAGG